CGCCCGGGGCGCGCCCCGGGCGGGGCGGGGGCACGGGGGGAACGCGAAGAACCUUACCUACUCUUGACAUCCAGAGAAUUCGCUAGAGAUAGCUUAGUGCCUUCGGGAACUCUGAGACAGGUGCUGCAUGGCUGUCGUCAGCUCGUGUUGUGAAAUGUUGGGUUAAGUCCCGCAACGAGCGCAACCCUUAUCCUUUGUUGCCAGCACGUAAUGGUGGGAACUCAAAGGAGACUGCCGGUGAUAAACCGGAGGAAGGUGGGGAUGACGUCAAGUCAUCAUGGCCCUUACGAGUAGGGCUACACACGUGCUACAAUGGCGUAUACAAAGAGAAGCGAACUCGCGAGAGCAAGCGGACCUCAUAAAGUACGUCGUAGUCCGGAUCGGAGUCUGCAACUCGACUCCGUGAAGUCGGAAUCGCUAGUAAUCGUAGAUCAGAA
rnacentral:rRNA from 1 species